GAUGAACGUUGGCGGCGUGCUUAACACAUGCAAGUCGAGCGAGUGAGUUCUUCGGAACGAUCUAGCGGCGGACGGGUGAGUAACACGUGGGCAACCUGCCUCAUAGAGGGGAAUAGCCUCCCGAAAGGGAGAUUAAUACCGCAUAAAAUUAUCGAGUGGCAUCACACGAUAAUCAAAGGAGUGAUCCGCUAUGAGAUGGGCCCGCGGCGCAUUAGCUAGUUGGUGAGGUAACGGCUCACCAAGGCGACGAUGCGUAGCCGACCUGAGAGGGUGAUCGGCCACAUUGGGACUGAGACACGGCCCAGACUCCUACGGGAGGCAGCAGUGGGGAAUAUUGCACAAUGGGGGAAACCCUGAUGCAGCAACGCCGCGUGAGUGAUGAAGGUCUUCGGAUUGUAAAGCUCUGUCUUUGGGGACGAUAAUGACGGUACCCAAGGAGGAAGCCACGGCUAACUACGUGCCAGCAGCCGCUGUAA
rnacentral:rRNA from 1 species